rnacentral:rRNA from 2 species
GCGUAGUCGAUGGGAAACGGGUUAAUAUUCCCGUACUUGGUGUUACUGCGAAGGGGGGACGGAGAAGGCUAUGUUGGCCGGGCGACGGUUGUCCCGGUUUAAGCGUGUAGGUGUGUGUUCCAGGUAAAUCCGGUUCACUUUAACACUGAGGCGUGAUGACGAGGCACUACGGUGCUGAAGCAACAAAUGCCCUGCUUCCAGGAAAAGCCUCUAAGCAUCAGGUAACAUCAAAUCGUACCCCAAACCGACACAGGUGGUCAGGUAGAGAAUACCAAGGCGCUUGAGAGAACUCGGGUGAAGGAACUAGGCAAAAUGGUGCCGUAACUUCGGGAGAAGGCACGCUGACACGUAGGUGAAGUGAUUUACUCAUGGAGCUGAAGUCAGUCGAAGAUACCAGCUGGCUGCAACUGUUUAUUAAAAACACAGCACUGUGCAAACACGAAAGUGGACGUAUACGGUGUGACGCCUGCCCGGUGCCGGAAGGUUAAUUGAUGGGGUCAGCGCAAGCGAAGCUCCUGAUCGAAGCCCCGGUAAACGGCGGCCGUAACUAUAACGGUCCUAAGGUAGCGAAAUUCCUUGUCGGGUAAGUUCCGACCUGCACGAAUGGCGUAAUGAUGGCCAGGCUGUCUCCACCCGAGACUCAGUGAAAUUGAACUCGCUGUGAAGAUGCAGUGUACCCGCGGCAAGACGGAAAGACCCCGUGAACCUUUACUAUAGCUUGACACUGAACAUUGAGCCUUGAUGUGUAGGAUAGGUGGGAGGCUUUGAAGUGUGGACGCCAGUCUGCAUGGAGCCGGCCUUGAAAUACCACCCUUUAAUGUUUGAUGUUCUAACGUGGACCCGUGAUCCGGGUUGCGGACAGUGUCUGGUGGGUAGUUUGACUGGGGCGGUCUCCUCCUAAAGAGUAACGGAGGAGCACGAAGGUUGGCUAAUCCUGGUCGGACAUCAGGAGGUUAGUGCAAUGGCAUAAGCCAGCUUGACUGCGAGCGUGACGGCGCGAGCAGGUGCGAAAGCAGGUCAUAGUGAUCCGGUGGUUCUGAAUGGAAGGGCCAUCGCUCAACGGAUAAAAGGUACUCCGGGGAUAACAGGCUGAUACCGCCCAAGAGUUCAUAUCGACGGCGGUGUUUGGCACCUCGAUGUCGGCUCAUCACAUCCUGGGGCUGAAGUAGGUCCCAAGGGUAUGGCUGUUCGCCAUUUAAAGUGGUACGCGAGCUGGGUUUAGAACGUCGUGAGACAGUUCGGUCCCUAUCUGCCGUGGGCGCUGGAGAACUGAGGGGGGCUGCUCCUAGUACGAGAGGACCGGAGUGGACGCAUCACUGGUGUUCGGGUUGUCAUGCCAAUGGCACUGCCCGGUAGCUAAAUGCGGAAGAGAUAAGUGCUGAAAGCAUCUAAGCACGAAACUUGCCCCGAGAUGAGUUCUCCCUGAGACUUAGAGUCUCCUGAAGGAACGUUGAAGACGACGACGUUGAUAGGCCGGGUGUGUAAGCGCAGCGAUGCGUUGAGCUAACCGGUACUAAUGAACCGUGAGGCUUAACCUUACA